rnacentral:tRNA from 1 species
GGAGAGGUGGCUGAGUGGCUGAAAGCGACGGUUUGCUAAACCGUUGAUCGGUUAAUAAACUGAUCCGGGGGUUCGAAUCCCCCCCUCUCCG